UCCUUUCAUGUUACUACACAGCAUGCAAUACAUUAGUCAGAGUGGCAGCGGUCAGCCUAGUGAGACCCACAGCAAAGAAGAUAGUAUGAUUAACCGACAGACAAAGCAAUGACUAGAAAGAGAGAAAAACAGGCAGUGUGGCGGGACUCAGACUAAUGGAAAUGCUGGAUUUCUAGAUGAAAAACCUUGCACAACUGUGGAAGCAGUGGAAUCAAGGAUUAUGUUUGUAUACAGAGCAAACCACCGAGGAUAAUGAUGAGAAAACUAAGCAUGGUGUCUGUCAGAACUAUGGGAAACAUACAUGACUAUUCCACACACAGCACUGAACAGCCAUCAGAAGUGCUCCAUAUGCUUUUGAAAAGAUGGAUACACAUGAAGAGGGGACUGAUGCAGAGAGAAGAGUUAAGUCACAGGUUCAACAUCUGACAGUAAAUAAGUAUCCAACUCAAGUACUGAGGCACCAGUGCUUUGGCUCACGGGACAAGGUCUCACUCUGUCUACCAAAGCAAGUUAUACACACCUUCUGUUUCUCAGUUCUCCUGACUACAGAAUUGGCCUAACAGAUAGUACAACUAAGCAUAUUUGAAUUACUUUACCUGAGGAUAUGUCUACACAAGGAUAAAAAGCCUGCAGCAUGGCCACGACUGGUCCAGGUCAGCUGGCUCAUAUUACAGGGCUCAAAAUUGCUAUGUAGACAUUUGGGCUCAGGUUGGAGCCUGGGCUCUGGGACCCUGAAGCCAAAUAUUUACAUAGUGAUUUUUCAGCCCCAGAGCUCAAGCCCUGCAAGACAGGUUCUCUUUCCAGAUUUUGCCACAAACUUCCUCUGUUUCCUUGGGCAGGUAAAAACUGAGGCCAGUUUCAGCUGCUCCAAAAAAAGUCACAUUUUUUUUUAAAUGGGAAAAUGUACCUUUUCCAAUUCUUUCCUCAUGCAAAAAUUGCUGGUUUUGCUAAAAAAUAAAACAAACAAAACCCAAUAAUAAAAAUAGCACCUUUCAGGCAUAACUGAAUCCCCAAACAAUUUCAGCCUCAAAAGUGAAUGCUUCAGAAAGCUACAAGAAAAUGAAAAUGAAGUGUUUUCAUCGGAACACUAAGGAAAUCUUAUCUAUAGAGGCUCACAGUCAUCUCUCCUGUAAAAUAUCCAUAUUACAGAUGGUGAAUCUAAGGACGAGAAAGAAAUUUUGCCCAAAAUUGUAAUUCCUGGUACUGGCUCUAAUUACAUACCCAGAGAGAGAGAGAGAGAGAGAGAGAGAGAGAGUCCCUAAGCCAAAUAAUGAUUUAUUUUUAUUUUCUUUUUACAAAAACUUAAAAUGAAAACAUCUGGUUAAAUCACGCAUUUUGGAAACAUAGAACAAGAUUGUAGUUAAUAUAUAUAAAAUCACAAUAAAACAUUAUUGUUUUAUUGUUUAUUCCUCUUACCAGUUAACAUAAAAGCAAAUCAAUAUUUUUGCUUCAGAGAAGAAAAAAAAAAAA